GCCCGGGUAGCUCAGUGGUUGAGCGCCUGCCUUUGGCCCAGGGCGUGAUCCCAGGGGUCUUGGGGUCAAGUCCCACGUUGGGCU
rnacentral:tRNA from 1 species